rnacentral:rRNA from 1 species
AGCUCAAAUUUUAAAGCUGGCAUCUUCGGUGUCCGCGUUGUAAUUUUGUGAGGCAUCUCCGGGCAGGGCGCCGGCCUAAGUUCCUUGGAACAGGACGUCACAGAGGGUGAGAAUCCCGUGCUUGGCUGGCUGUCCCCGUCCAUGUGAGGUGUCUUCGACGAGUCGAGUUGUUUGGGAAUGCAGCUCAAAAUGGGUGGUAAAUUUCAUCUAAAGCUAAAUAUUGGUGGGAGACCGAUAGCGCACAAGUAGAGUGAUCGAAAGAUGAAAAGCACUUUGAAAAUAGAGUUAAAAAGUACGUGAAAUUGUUGAAAGGGAAGCGCUUGAGACCAGACUUCGGUAGGGGGUGAUCAGCCGUCCUUCUGGGCGGUGCACUUGCCCCCCUCCGGGCCAGCAUCGGUUGAGGCGGCGGGAUAAAGGUCCCGGGAAUGUGGCUCCUUCACGGGAGUGUUAUAGCCCGGGUGAAUGCCGCCAGCUUCGACCGAGGACCGCGCCCGCAAGGGUUAGGAUGCUUGGCAUAAUGGUCUUCAGCGACCCGUCUUGAAACACGGACCAAGGAGUCUAACAUCUAUGCGAGUGUUUGGGUGUCAAACCCUUGCGCGAAAUGAAAGUGAACGGAGGUGGGAACCCGCAAGGGCGCACCAUCGACCGGUCCUGAAGUCUUCUGAAGGAUCUGAGUAGGAGCAUAGCUGUUGGGACCCGAAAGAUGGUGAACUAUGCCUGAAUAGGGUGAAGCCAGAGGAAACUC